rnacentral:rRNA from 1 species
UACGGGGGGGGCAAGCGUUGUUCGGAAUUACUGGGCGUAAAGGGCUCGUAGGUGGCCAUCUAAGUCAGACGUGAAAUCCCUCGGCUUAACCGGGGAACUGCGUCUGAUACUGGAUGGCUUGAGUUCGGGAGAGGGAUGCGGAAUUCCAGGUGUAGCGGUGAAAUGCGUAGAUAUCUGGAGGAACACCGGUGGCGAAGGCGGCAUCCUGGACCGACACUGACACUGAGGAGCGAAAGCCAGGGGAGCAAACGGG